rnacentral:lncRNA from 1 species
GAGGCUAAAAAAAUUCCAAGAAAAUCACCGUAGCAUCCUAAUACGCCUACGAGGUGGGUGGUGCUAUCCAAACUCAUUGGAAUUCCUUCUAUGUCUAAUGUGUCAUUCAAUUAAGCAUAUAUCUAUAUUGUUGCAUGCAUUAUAGGGUAGAUGUGAUGUUAUAUAUGUGAAUGUUGCAUGAUGUGAGUACACGUGCUAUUCGAAAUGUUUGAGAACCUAUUCAACCCUAUAUGUAUGCAAGAGAUACAAUGUGAGCGCCCAAUGAGAUGAAAGAACAAAGUGACACAAUAAAACAUAGAUCGAGUGGCAUCCGACCAUGUAAAGGAAUGUGACACUAGAUGUCACGUCCCGCUAUCGCCAAUUUGGUCGAUCCGGGCCCGUACACAGACGCCGAACGGACAGAACCUCCUCUGUCUGCCCAAGGCUCAACAACCACGAGUACAUGUAUAAAGAAAUAAACAAUUUCCAGGAUAACAUUUCAAUAUACAUGGCUUGCACGAGGGCAAGCAACAAUCACAAGUGAUAGUAAGUUAACUAAAAAUAAAAUUCACUGUAAUUUAAAACUUUCAAACUGAACUGUAUAACUGAAAUAUUUAGUUAUUUACAUGCUUUAUAAUACAUUCAUUUACAUGUCUCUGUACAUCAAAAUAGAUGAUACAUGAACUCAAAAUGGUAACUGCUAAAACUCUGGUGUCAGCUAGCUAAGCUGCAGGGCCCUUGCCACGAUCCUCGGCAACAACACUUGCACUGGAACCUGUAUGGUUAGUGGUGUGAGAACUAUAAAUAAGUUCCCAGUGGGUUCGGCCGCCGACCUCGCCGACUCACCCACUAGGUCUACUCAGGCAUAUGUAGGCAAGAANUUUAACCUAGUAUUAAUAAACAUAGUGUCACGUCCCGCUAUCGCCAAUUUGGUCGAUCCGGGCCCGCACACAGACGCCGAACGGACAAAACCUUUUCUGUCCGCCCAAGGCUCAACAACAACGAGUACAUGUAUAAAGAAAUAAACAGUUCCCAGGAUAACAUCUCAAUAUACAUGGCUUGCACGAGGGCAAGCAACAACCACAAGUGAUAGUAAGCUAGCUAUACUAAAAAUUCACUGUAAUUUAAGACUUUCAAACUGAACUAUAUAACUGAAACAUUUAGUUAUUUACAUGCUGUUUAAUACAUACAUUUACAUGUCCCUGUACAUCAAAAUAGAUGCUACAUGAACUCAAAAUGGUAA